AGAGUUUGAUCCUGGCUCAGGACGAACGCUGGCGGCGUGCCUAAUACAUGCAGUCGAGCGGAUUGUUCCUUCGGGAACAGUUAGCGGCGGACGGGUGAGUAACACGUAGGCAACCUGCCUAGAGGAUCGGGAUAACUAUCGGAAACGAUAGCUAAGACCGAAUAGCUGGAUGGAACGCAUGUUCGAUUCAUGAAACACGGAGCAAUCUGUGACCUGUAGAUGGGCCUGCGGCGCAUUAGCUAGUUGGUGAGGUAACGGCUCACCAAGGCGACGAUGCGUAGCCGACCUGAGAGGGUGAUCGGCCACACUGGGACUGAGACACGGCCCAGACUCCUACGGGAGGCAGCAGUAGGGAAUCUUCCGCAAUGGACGCAAGUCUGACGGAGCAACGCCGCGUGAGUGAUGAAGGUUUUCGGAUCGUAAAGCUCUGUUGCCAGGGAAGAACAGCUGGAGGAGUAACUGCCUUUAGUGUGACGGUACCUGAGAAGAAAGCCCCGGCUAACUACGUGCCAGCAGCCGCGGUAAUACGUAGGGGGCAAGCGUUGUCCGGAAUUAUUGGGCGUAAAGCGCGCGCAGGCGGCGACUUAAGUUUGGUGUUUAAUACCGGGGCUCAACCCCGGGUCGCACUGAAAACUGGGUCACUUGAGUGCGGGAGAGGAAAGUGGAAUUCCACGUGUAGCGGUGAAAUGCGUAGAGAUGUGGAGGAACACCAGUGGCGAAGGCGACUUUCUGGACCGUAACUGACGCUGAGGCGCGAAAGCGUGGGGAGCAAACAGGAUUAGAUACCCUGGUAGUCCACGCCGUAAACGAUGAGUGCUAGGUGUCGGGGGUUUCAAUACCCACGGUGCCGAAGUAAACACAGUAAGCACUCCGCCUGGGGAGUACGCUCGCAAGAGUGAAACUCAAAGGAAUUGACGG
rnacentral:rRNA from 1 species